AUACUCUGGUUUCUCUUCAGAUGGUAUAAAUCUUUCACCUUUUACUAAGGAUUUCUAUGGAGAGGAACAAUUCUGAGUCUUACCCCAAUUUUUUGAGGCCUCACAUCUAUCUGCAGGGA
rnacentral:snRNA from 1 species